AACGAACGCUGGCGGCAUGCCUAACACAUGCAAGUCGAACGAGACCAUCGGGCUUAGUGGCGCACGGGUGCGUAAAGCGUGGGGACAUGCCUAUAGGUUUGGCAUAACUUCCCGAAUGGGGUGCUAAUACCGGAUCUUGUCUUCGGACCAAAGAUUUAUCGCCUUUGGAUGGGCUGGCGUUGGAUUAGCUUGUUGGUAGGGUAAAAGCGUACCAAGGCGACGAUCCGUAGCUGGGUUGAGAGGAUGAGCAGCGACACUGGGGCGGGGACACGGCCCAGAAUCCUGCGGGAGGGAGCAGUGGGUAAUAUUGGACAGUGGGGUGAGGGCUGAACGAGCAAUGCUGGGUGAGUGAUGAAGGCCGGAGGGUUGUAAAGCUCUUUUAUCCGGGAUGAUAAUGACGGUACCGGGAGAAUAAGCACCGGCUAACUCCGUG
rnacentral:rRNA from 1 species